AUGGAUGGGGUCUUAUCUUUACAUGAAAUCCUUAACUAUACUCAUGUGAAAAAGCGAGUUGAGGUGGUGCUGAAACUUGAUUUCGAGAAGGCCUAUGCUAAGGUGAACUGGGACUUCUUGCUAGAAUGUCACAAAAUGCGGGGUUUUAGUGAAACCUGGUGUGGAUGGAUAAACCAAAUCCUCCGUAAUGGUACGGUGAGCAUCAAACUCAACAAUAGUGUGGGGCCGUAUUUCCAAAGUGCAAAAGGGGUUAGGCAGGGUGAUUUGCACUCCCCUUUUCUGUUUAAUUUGGCUGUUGAGUGUCUCACUAAAAUGAUAAAAAAAUGCUCAACGCAACAAGUUACUGGUUGGUUUGGCGGCGGACCUUGUUCCUGA
rnacentral:rRNA from 1 species